GAUAAACGCUAGCGGCAGGCUUAACACAUGCAAGUCGAGGGGCAGCAUAGAUUGUAGCAAUACAAUUGGUGGCGACCGGCGCACGGGUGCGUAACGCGUAUGCAACCUACCCGUCACAGGGGGAUAAUCCGGAGAAAUCUGGGCUAAUACCCCUUAACAUAGGGAUCGGCAUCGUUUCAUGUUGAAAUUUUCGGAGGUUACGGAUGGGCAUGCGUGGCAUUAGCUUGUUAGUGAGGCAACGGCUCACAAAGGCGACGAUGCUUAGGGGGACUGAGAGGUUUUCCCCCCACACUGUUACUGAGAGACGGACCAGACUGCUACGGGAGGCAGCCGUGAGGAAUAUUGGUCAAUCGGCGCAAGCCUGAACCAGCCAUGCCGCGUGCAGGAUGACGGCUCUAUGAGUUGUAAACUGCUUUUGUACGAGGGUAAAGUGGGUUACGUGUAACCUUUUGAAAGUAUCGUACGAAUAAGGAUCGGCUAACUCCGUGCCAGCAGCCGCCGUAA
rnacentral:rRNA from 1 species